GCUCCAAUAGCGUAUAUUAAAGUUGUUGCAGUUAAAAAGCUCGUAGUUGGAUUUCGGGACGGGCCAGUUGGUCCGCCGCAAGGUGAGUUACUGAUUGGUCUGUCCUUCUUCGCAAAGACUGCGUGUGCUCUUCACUGAGUGUGCGUGGGAUUUACGACGUUUACUUUGAAAAAAUUAGAGUGUUCAAAGCAGGCUAUCGC
rnacentral:rRNA from 1 species